GCAUUAUUUAUAUUUUGAAUAUGGGGUUACUUACAUGUGGUAGAAACUUUCUAAGUUCUUCACUUGCUUAUUAGAUCGCAUAUGAUGUGAUAAGAAUUGGAAAUCAGAAUGCUUAGAAUCUGCAAAUACAAAAUGACGACAAUGGAUAUAUAAGAUAUAUAAAGAGUAUAUCUUGCCCAAGAAGAAUAUCUACCCACAUAGACUUUAACGAACAGGUUAUGCGAGUUUGGCUGGAAAAAAAAUGGUACAUUUUUUGUUACAUUUUUUAUUUGUUUGUAUUUGAUUAUGAUUGUGAAGUGAGAUGGUUUUUUGUUCAAGUGAAGAUACUAGGGCUUUAUAUUCUAUUGUCACGAUAAAAAUUUAUUGUUAUAGUAAACGACGUCCAAUUGGGCUAAAAUUUGAUGGAUAGAUACUAGGAACAUUUAGGUAGCUAUUGUAAAAUUUUCAUUACUUUUUGAUGACGGGA
rnacentral:lncRNA from 1 species